rnacentral:rRNA from 1 species
GACGAACGCUGGCGGCGUGCUUAACACAUGCAAGUCGAACGGAAAGGCCCUGCUUUUGUGGGGUGCUCGAGUGGCGAACGGGUGAGUAACACGUGAGUAACCUGCCCUUGACUUUGGGAUAACUUCAGGAAACUGGGGCUAAUACCGGAUAGGAGCUCCUGCUGCAUGGUGGGGGUUGGAAAGUUUCGGCGGUUGGGGAUGGACUCGCGGCUUAUCAGCUUGUUGGUGGGGUAGUGGCUUACCAAGGCUUUGACGGGUAGCCGGCCUGAGAGGGUGACCGGGCACAUUGGUACUGAGAUACGGCCCAGACUCCUACGGGAGGCAGCAGUGGGGAAUAUUGCACAAUGGGCGGAAGCCUGAUGCAGCAACGCCGCGUGCGGGAUGACGGCCUUCGGGUUGUAAACCGCUUUCGCCUGUGACGAAGCGUGAGUGACGGUAAUGGGUAAAGAAGCACCGGCUAACUACGUG